rnacentral:tRNA from 1 species
GCAUCAGUGGUUUAGUGGUAAAAUCCGUCGUUGCCAAUUGGUAAAUUCGACGGGCCCCGUGUUCGAUUCACGGCUGAUGCA